AAGUCGUAACAAGGUUUCCGUAGGUGAACCUGCGGAAGGAUCAUUACCACAUAUCAUCGGGGGGGAAACUUCGGUUUCCCCUGUCUGAACCCUUGUCUUUUGCGUACUAUUUGUUUCCUCGGUGGGCUUGCCUGCCGAUAGGACAACCAUUAAACCUUUUGUAAUUGCAAUCAGCGUCAGAAAAACAUAAUAGUUACAACUUUCAACAACGGAUCUCUUGGUUCUG
rnacentral:misc_RNA from 2 species